ACGGUCUGAUGAAGACCAAGGGAGGAGUCGUGGGGACCAAGCUGAGGCCAUUCUUGGACAAACUGAGUCAGGGAGGGACACACUGGAGAUGGCCAAGGCCAUCUGGCAUCUACUUUUCUCCACCAAAAACCUGAGGUGGACCACACUGCACAGACCCUCCUGACAAUGGACAAUAUUAUACAAGUGUCUGAUGUGAUGAGAGCACUGUGUCCACCAUUCACUGAGGAGGAGCAUGGAGAGGAGGAAACCAACCAGCUUCCUGAUGGAAUCUACUUUCUCUUCCUUCCUCCCCUGCAGGUCCAAGGGCUGUAUGAGGCAGAGCAGAGGGGGAAAGAGAGGGCAAGGACAUGAAGAAAGGAUGCUCCUCGGUUGUACACCGCUCUGCAUUCAUGGAGCUGUGACUGUUCCUUCCUGAGGGUGCAGCACGGGGAAGGUACGCCGGGUCACCUCACUUUCCUCUCUCAACCAAUAACACAACAUAUUCUGACUGUCAAUCCCCAACAAACAGCCACCCUCCUCAGAGUCUUUUUGUGCCACCCAGACUGAGAGUUUGAACGCACGCACAAACCCUAACCGUCCCAUAUCAGCAAACCACAGAGCCACUAACACCCACGUUGUUCUUUUAUUUUCUGACAAAUGUCUGUCUUUACUCUUCUGUUCUGUACACAUUCUUUCUGUCUUUGUCCUGUUGUUCUGUAUUUUGUUUCUUGUGUUAAAAUAAUAAAAGAAAACUCAAGAACAUCCUCAGAAUUUA